GGCUCCCUAAAUGCUCUUGAUGUCCUAUCUUCUCUUACCACUGGGUAGGAGGGCAGAAGAUUACUGAGUGGAAAUGCCUGUGUUUCAUGCUGGAGAUAUAAUCCAGGCAAGAAUUGUUUUCUCCCCUAUAUGACUACCAUGCUAGACUUAAAUUCACCUUGUCGAAGAGUGAGCACCUGCCACUUCUUGAGAAAACCUCAUCUCUCUGAUGGUCCCUGGGGACCAGAGGAAACAAACAGCGUGGCAGCUUGCUGGGGCACUUGCUGUUAGCAGGAUAAAAAUGCAGCAAAGGAGGCCUAUUGAAGUCCCACAACAAUAGAAGCCAACUGCUGCAGUGAGAAAGCAGCCAUUUGUUGUGCCAGCUGCAGCCAGGGACAGCAGAGGGAAGGAACAAGGGAGCAAGUGUGGAUGAACUGGCUGAAAACGCUGAUAAAACGGCAUGAUUUGAAAGGACUCCGAGAUCUCAUCUCUGGCAAGAAAAUCACCGGAGUGUCUUCAGCUGAAGGCAUCUGUGAUUUCCACCAUGAGGCUGAAUUGGAUUAAAGAAAAAUGAAAAUGAAUUGCUGCAGUAGUGUGCCGAGUCAACUCUCCUUACAAGUUUCUUUUGUAAUCAAAGGGUCUAACUUAGCAGCAUGUUCCUAAGGUUUUGUUGUUGCUGUUGCUACUUCCAUGUCAUAGCCACAAUUAACUGUAGAGAUAGUUAAUUAUGGAAAAGGCAGCAGAGGAGGCAAGAGCACAAGGGCUGUGUGCAUCUCUAGGGGGAAACACCCUGAGGAAAAUAGCAGUAAUAAGUGAUAGGGAGCCAUCGUCUGUUUAAAGAUACUGUUGGAGGUCAAUAGCACUUCCACUUGGGACCCUCAAUGCAUGAUUUCAGAUUGCUCAAGAAGCAAAUGGAAAUAUUCUUUAUUCUUGCUACUUUGAUGGCUUGUAAAGAAUGCCAGUGCUCAACAUCAGCUCCAUCUUAUGGUCAGCCUACUUCUGGUGGCCCUGGCCUCCCCCAGGAGCUAGUCCAGAUCCCAAGGAGAUGCUGCAGCUCUGCUGCAGAGUGGGUCAGUCCUCACAGACCUGACAAGGUGCAUGCAGGUAAAAGAGGGUUGCCAACUGUCCCCGUGUGAUGAGUUUCUGGACCCUGAUUACCCAUGUAUGGGGAGUGCUGCUGCAAUCACAAGGGGAAAAUAAAGUUUGUGGUAAGCUGGUUUUCACAUUGGGAAGAGAAACAGCACUAGAGCUGCUCCUUGCAACAGAUGGGGAGAGGCCUUUUUGCCUCUCCUCACCAUUGCAGAAGGCGAGCUGUCCUGUUCCUCUUGCCUAUAGGGCUGACUGGCAGCUGAGCCUUGGGGCCACCAGACAGCAGGGAGGCUGCCAGUGUAGAGCUGCCUACGACUCCUCUGCAGAAGAUGACAGAUUGAAUGCCCAGCACUAAGCAUUAGGCAUCUCGUUGGCCUCUAAUUCCACUGGCAAUGCCUAUGGGGAGAUGCAACUUGGGCCUUUCUGAACUGCGUGUUUUUGCAGGGAAAUUUAGUCAUCGUGGGGGAGUAGUGUUCUGCUACAAUAAUGUUGAAUAUGUAUUUAUCUUUAGUUAUUUCCUUUUUGUUCCUGGAUUUUCUAAUCUUCUCUAUUUUAUCUCUGCUUUGUCCUGGACUAAAUGUUUAUCUCGUUUUUCAGUUGCUCCUGAAUUACCUAACAAUGUCUGUAUGGCAAAUCCUCAGUUCUCUUGGAGUGCAAAGAGCAGAGAGACAACUAAUUCCAGAACGGUGAGGUCCAAAGUAGAAGAAGUACGAAGCAAGAGCACAUGAACCUUUCCAGCCCAGUGGAAGGAGGCUCUCAACCAUCAAACAGUGGUGUUUUCUUACAGCAGUGUAUUCAUGGCUCACCCAAAUUUUCUCAUGUAAUACAACCACAAAUAUAUUUCCCAAAAGAGAAUACUCAAACUACAGAUGCUCUUGGAAUUUAGUGGUGUUUUUCUGUAUUAUUAUCCAUGGUGUGCCAGCUUUACACUUCAUGUGUAAUGGAGCCAGUACUGAAAGAUUCAGCAACGUUGAAAGCUAACUCAGCCCACUCCCCUUAUCAGUGGCCUGUGAGCUGGGAGGAAAGGUGCAUGUUCCUGACACACCGACAGUGACAAUUGCCAGCUGUCUCAAGGAUGAUCAGAUGCCAUUUUCAGGCUGUGGAAAGGAAAGCAAUCUGGUUGCUUGCAUAAUACAGAACAAGAGUCAAACAACUGGUAAUCCCAGGAGCAAGAGAUGUCCAUCUUUACAGCUGUUUCUGAUGUGAUUUAGGUUUUGGAUGGGAAAACUUUUCCUUCCCUUUUCCUUCCCUUUUCCUUCCCUUUUCCUUCCCUUCUCCUUCCCUUCUCCUUCCCUUCUCCUUCCCUUCUCCUUCCCUUCUCCUUCCCUUCUCCUUCCCUUCUCCUUCCCUUCUCCUUCCCUUCUCCUUCCCUUCUCCUUCCCUUCUCCUUCCAUUCUCCUUCCCUUCUUUUUUUCUUAACCUUGAAGUACCACACUGUAAAUGGCUACAGAACCAAAAUCUUCAACAAGUGGUAUGCAUCUGAUUUUAUUAAUAAGACCUUUCCUGACAGUUACAGUAAAAGGGUGUUGUCCUCUCGUGCAUUUUUCAAAUGUCCUCUUGGUUUUUGAAUACUGCUGUAUAACUGCUGCUUCCCCUGUUAUUUUUCUGUUUCAUCACCUCUCAUUGACAGUUGUUUUGAUAUUUUCAUUGACCUGGCAUUUCUCACAACAGCUAGAACAAAAGUGAUUUGCUUUAACUGUAGGAGGUACCACGAAUUAAUAGCUAACUUUUCUUAUUGUGUUCCUGUGGGAAGACAAGCAAUCUUCUUUUCUGGGUAACACUUCUACCUUGGAAUAUUUCAGAAACCUAUCAGAGUGAGCAAGAACAGCCCUGGACACCUACAGUGUCUCAAUCAGAGGGGUGACAGACGUUGCAAUAGCAUACAGCCCGUCUUCAGUAUGCUGCUGUCAGUCACUGGUGACUGAAGCUAUUCGUGGUCCAUAAUAAUGCACAGCUGCUCUGCAGGAGAAAUACCAAAGCUAAACAAACACUGUGCAGCACUAAUUAUUUCAUUUGGUUUUGGCAUUCUUAAAGUUCUGAUAAAUUCAUUUUAAAUAAGAGAGAUUGUUUUUCUUUCCAGUAUAGUGAAGGGAUUUCAUGGGUUGUGUAACCUUCUUCCAAGCAAAUCAUACUUUUUGUGGACUUCUCCAAGACUGUUUGCUGAGACUUGUUAGCUUUUGGAUAUAGAAGGGUUACUACUGUUGGCCAGUCUUGCUCUUGACUACUUUAGAAUGAGGAAUAUGGUAGAGUCCCCCAACUCUACAUACUGCAAAUGAGAGCUUGGUCAGAGUCCCUGGUAAGGAGUUAGCAUUUGAUUUCAGAAGAAGCAUGACUGGCUCUAGGUAAUGAGGAAAGCAGUUACCUCUCUCUGCUAGAAAAACAGCCUUGGGAAGAAGACUGUCCUCUUUGGGACUGAAUUCGUGCCCUUUUGGAGUCCGUGCUGCAGUCCUCAGUAAAAUUGGGACUAA